rnacentral:lncRNA from 1 species
AGGACUUAACAGUCAACAAGAUUUCUUGUUUGCUAACCCGUUAUUGGCUGCUACCCUUGAAUCUCCCUAUUUGUCAACAACAAAAAAAGAGGUUAAAUACUAUGAUCAUGCUAUCAUCAUUAUGUUGCCUAUAAGACCAAAUGUUGGGAAUCUGGUUAUCCCUCCAAAAUAAGGCAAUGACCACACGUUCAAUGCGGAUCAUUCGUUUUUUUCAUCGAACUUGACUCAUUCCAUCUUCUGGAUUGCUUAGGAAAGCUGAUUGGUGUUACCUGUUAUUUGGGUAAAGACCGAGAAGAUGCGGCUUACAUGAACAUCAUUUAGGUGGCCAGCAUCAUUCGACUACCCAACCGGCUUCUACAGUCUACUACCCUGCUCUCAACACAGCACGGAAUUCUACCAUUUAGAUUUUUGGCUGUUCGCGACGUUUGAUGGCGUUUCCUUGAACGAGAUGAUGAUUUUGGCGAGAAAAAUAUUGCGUUCUAACCUUCAGGUUCCUAAAUUUGCAUGGCAGAGUUUA